UUCACGAAAGCAGAACUGACAAACGCAACUAAAAAACAUUCCUAAUUUCACUCUCCCACUAACAGAUCCACGUUCAAGGUGGUUACAACAAUUUCCAUCUUCUAUAUAAAUGUUCUUCAACAUUCUCUAAAGGCAGAAAAAGACACCUUAAAAUCUCUUUUAUAAUCAUAAAAUUAUGCCCCAAUCUUCCCUUCCAAAACCUCUUUCAACUUCACAAAGCUAAAUUCCUUUCAAAACAACAAUUCUGAUGGAGCUGCAACAUACCUCUGGAUUUUACUCAUCUCUCUAAUCUAAAUUCUUUAAAAAAGAGAAUGGAAGAUCAGGAAGCCAAAGACCAAGUUCUCUAAUCUAAAUUCUCUAAUCUAAACAAAGGGAUGUGUCCCUCAGGAAGCCAAAGACCAGGUUCCUCGACAAACCGUCAAACACCCAUGAGGCAACAGGUAGUAGAACAGAGAAAAGUUUCCCGUUACAUCGCCACAUCCCGAAUGAUACCAAAACAAUUUGUGCCGAACUCGAAACAUCAGCGCCCAAGAGACCUCCCUCACGCGUUAUAGAUCAUGAUGCUGAAGACGAAGAGGCUGCAAUAAGGUCAGAGGAUGAAGAAGCGUUCAACAUGCUUAGACAGUUGUUACCCAGCAAGCGUUUUUCUCGGUACGAAGAUGAUGACAUAAACAUGGAAGUAGGGUUUGAAGAUAUCCAAAAAGAAGAGAGACGAAGGUACAUGAGUAUUCUGAUCUUCAUGUAUUUGUUUGUUUGAUAUUCCUUAACGAUUCAUGUGGAAAUGUUUAAAUGUACUGCAAGAAUCGCAAGGGAGGAAGAUGAAAUCAUGAAAGAGAACUUCAACUCUAGAGGAAGAAGAAAAGAGAGAAAGACUAAGAAAGAAUCGAAAGCUGAGUUUGUUAACAAAAAUAAAUUAGAAGAAUCAUUUGCUCUUUAGUCUUCUUUUAAGACUUCAGAUUUUUUUUUUUUACUGUUCUCGUUUAAUUUCUUUGGCCGCUUGAGGCAGAAAAGAGUUUUAAUUGAAUCUAUGAAUUGAAUCCUUUUAUUCAAUUGAAUUUCUGAAUGUAAUCUCUACCCAAACCUUAUUCAGAAAU